GAUGAACGCUGGCGGCGUGCCUAAUACAUGCAAGUCGAGCGAACAGACGAGGAGCUUGCUCCUCGGACGUUAGGGGCGGAGGGGGGAGUAACACGGGGAUAACCUACUUAUAAGACUGGGAUAACUUCGGGAAACCGGAGCUAAUACCGGAUAAUAUAUUGAACCGCAGGGUUCAAUAGUGAAAGACGGUUUUGCUGUCACUUAUAGAGGGAUCCGCGCCGCAUUAGCUAGUUGGUAAGGUAACGGCUUACCAAGGCAACGAUGCGUAGCCGACCUGAGAGGGUGAUCGGCCACACUGGAACUGAGACACGGUCCAGACUCCUACGGGAGGCAGCAGUAGGGAAUCUUCCGCAAUGGGCGAAAGCCUGACGGAGCAACGCCGCGUGAGUGAUGAAGGUCUUCGGAUCGUAAAACUCUGUUAUUAGGGAAGAACAAAUGUGUAAGUAACUAUGCACGUCUUGACGGUACCUAAUCAGAAAGCCACGGCUAACUACGUG
rnacentral:rRNA from 1 species